rnacentral:rRNA from 1 species
UAACCGCUGAAAGCAUCUAAGCGGGAAACUCUCCUCAAAACAAGUAUUCCCUAUAGAGCCGUGGAAGACGACCACGUUGAUAGGUGGAGUGUGUAAGCACAGUAAUGUGUUCAGCUAAUCCAUACUAAUAGCUCAAUUGGCUUGAUUCU